ACUAUUUUGGCAGAUUAGUGCGAUAAAUUUAGAAUUUAUUUAUGUAGAAAAAUCUACAAAUAGUA
rnacentral:tRNA from 1 species